rnacentral:rRNA from 1 species
GGAGGGUGCAAGCAUUAAUCGGAAUUAUUGGGCGUAAAGGGCGUGUAGGCGGAACUGUAAGUCAGAUGUGAAAUACCGAGGGCUUAACCUCGGUGCUGCAUUUGAAACUACAGAUCUGGAGGAUAGACGGAGAAAACGGAAUUCCACGUGUAGCGGUGAAAUGCGUGGAUAUGUGGAAGAACACCCGUGGCGAAAGCGGUUUUCUAGUUUAUUCCUGACGCUGAGGCGCGAGAGCAAGGGGAGCAAACAGGAUUAGAUACCCUGGUAGUCCUUGCCGUAAACGAUGUAUACUUGAUGUAGUUGGACUCAACCCCGACUGUGUCGUAGCUAACGCGAUAAGUAUACCGCCUGAGGAGUACGCUCGCAAGGGUG